UUUACCUUGCGAUGAGGGAUAGCCUCGCGAAAGCGGGGGUAAUAUCUCGUACUCCCUCUAUCUUGCGGGAUAGAGGGCAAAAACGGCGAUCCUGCUUCGGUAGGAGCUGUUGUCGUAAGAGGAGCCCGCGUCCUACAGCUUGUUGGUAAGGUAACGGCUUACCAAGGCGAUGACGGGUAGCUGGCAUUAGUGUGUGGUCAGCCACACCGGGACUGAGACACUGCCCGGACUCCUACGGGAGGCUGCAGUCGAGAAUCUUUCCCAAUGCCCGAAAGGGUGAGGAUGCGACGCCGCGUGGGGGAUGAAGGUUUUCGGAUUGUAAUCCCCUUUUAUCGGGGAAGAAAUCCAACGGGCGAAUACCCUGUUGGUCUGACGUUACCCGAUGAAUAAGCCACGGCUAACUCCGUGCCAGCAGCCGCGGUAAUACGGAGGUGGCGAGCGUUACUCGGAAUUACUGGGUGUAAAGGGUCCGCAGGCGGCCGGAUAAGUAGGAGGUGAAAUCCUCUGGCUCAACCAGAGAAUUGCCUUCUAUACUGUUCGGCUCGAGGGCAAAAGAGGAGAGCAGAACUGCAGGUGUAAAGGUGAAAUUUGUGGAUAUCGGCAGGAAUGCCAGCGGCGAAGGCGGCUCUCUGGUUUGCAUCUGACGCUCAGGGACGAAAGCUAGAGGAGCAAACAGGAUUAGAUACCCUGGUAGUUCUAGCUGUAAACGAUGGGCACUGGGUGUUUCCGAUUUAUGGGAGUGCCGAAGUUAACGCGUUAAGUGCCCCACCUGGGGACUACGGUCGCAAGGCUAAAACUCAAAGGAAUUGACGGGGGCCCGCACAAGCGGUGGAACAUGUGGUUUAAUUCGAUGCUACGCGAGGAACCUUACCAGGGCUUGACAUGCUGGAAGUAGGAACCUGAAAGGGGGACGACCGGUAACCAGUCCGGAACCAGUGCAGGUGCUGCAUGGUUGUCGUCAGCUCGUGCCGUGAGGUGUCGCCUUAAGUGGCUCAACGAGCGCAACCCUCACUUUUAGUUGCUACUCCACCUAUGGUGGACGCACUCUAAAGGGACUGCCCGCGUUAAGCGGGAGGAAGGUGGGGAUGACGUCAAAUCAGCAUGGCCCUUAUGUCCUGGGCUACACACGUGUUACAAUGGCGCGUACAAUGGGAGGCAAAGCCGCGAGGUUGAGCAAAUCCCUAAAAGCACGCCUCAGUUCGGAUUGAAGGCUGAAAUUUGCCUUCAUGAAGCUGGAAUCGCUAGUAAUGGCGUAUCAGCAACGACGCCGUGAAUACGUUCCCGGGCCUUGUACACACCGCCCGUCAAGCGCCGAAAGUGGGGGGCGCCCGAAGCCUGCUCUAGUAGUGGAUCACGGUGAACUUCAUGAUUGGUGCUAAGUCGCAACAAGGUA
rnacentral:rRNA from 1 species